rnacentral:lncRNA from 1 species
CUUCUGUGGCCUGAACAGUUUAAAAUAAUACAAAUCUACACACACAAAAAACUGGCUUAAUUUCAACUUGUUAUCAACCCGAAUCGCUAUAAGAUCAUAUAUAAGCUCACCUGUGUCGAGGGGUCGUGUGAGGUUCAUUUAUUGUCUUGGCGUCCGCAAUUACAAAAAGAUCUUUUCUGAAAUUACUUGACCAAAUGUUACCAA